rnacentral:rRNA from 1 species
CUACGGGAGGCAGCAGUGGGGAAUAUUGGACAAUGGGCGCAAGCCUGAUCCAGCCAUGCCGCGUGGAUGAUGAAGGCCUUAGGGUUGUAAAGUCCUUUUAACGGGGAAGAUAAUGACGGUAACCGGAGAAGAAGCCCCGGCUAACUUCGUGCCAGCAGCCGCGGUAAUACGAAGGGGGCUAGCGUUGUUCGGAAUUACUGGGCGUAAGGCGCACGUAGGCGGACAUUUAAGUCAGGGGUGAAAUCCCGGGGCUCAACCCCGGAACUGCCUUUGAUACUGGAUGUCUCGAGUCCGGAAGAGGUGAGUGGAACUCCGAGUGUAGAGGUGAAAUUCGUAGAUAUUCGGAAGAACACCAGUGGCGAAGGCGGCUCACUGGUCCGGUACUGACGCUGAGGUGCGAAAGCGUGGGGAGCAAACAGGAUUAGAAACCCCGGUAGUCC